rnacentral:rRNA from 1 species
AACGAACGCUGGCGGCAGGCUUAACACAUGCAAGUCGAACGCCCGUAGCAAUACGGGAGUGGCAGACGGGUGAGUAACGCGUGGGAAUCUCCCCAAAGGUACGGAACAACUCAGGGAAACUUGAGCUAAUACCGUAUGUGCCCGAGAGGGCAAAGAUUCAUCGCCUUUGGAUGAGCCCGCGUUGGAUUAGCUAGUUGGGGGGGUAAUGGCCUACCAAGGCGACGAUCCAUAGCUGAUCUGAGAGGAUGAUCAGACACACUGGGACUGAGACACGGCCCAGAGUCCUACGGGAGGCAGCAGUGGGGAAUCUUGGACAAUGGGCGAAAGCCUGAUCCAGCCAUGCCGCGUGAGUGAAGAAGGCCUUAGGGUUGUAAAGCUCUUUUGCCCGGGAAGAUAAUGACGGUACCGGGAGAAUAAGCCCCGGCAAACUUCGUGCCAGCAGCCGCGGUAACAC